rnacentral:rRNA from 1 species
CGGGACGGGGUGGAGGUAACGACGUGGGGUAACCCGCCUUCGUACUUGGGGGGACAACAGUUAGAAAUAGAUGCUAAUACCGCAUAAGCGCACAGUAUCGCAUGAUACAGUGUGAAAAACUCCGGUGGUACAAGAUGGACCCGCGUCUGAUUAGCUAGUUGGUAAGGUAACGGCUUACCAAGGCGACGAUCGGUAGCCGGACUGAGAGGUUGAACGGCCACAUUGGGACUGAGACACGGCCCAG